AAUUAUCAUCAUUGUGGGCUUCUGGUUGAGGUUCUUCAUCAUCAUUGUCCAGGUAUUUUACCUCAUGGGUCCGGUGAUUGUAAAUGACUCUCAUCUUCCUAUUUACCUGCUUGAUACUAAUCAUGAAAGAAGGUUUUCCAUUGAGAAGCACGGCUCAUUUUCCAUGUUAAUGUUGAAAUGACAGAAAAUCUUGGUUAAGAAAUGAGCAUAUGGUAGCCCCUCGGCAUAUUCGUCAUGGGACAUCAAAUGUGACAGGAUUGUAUGCCCCAAAUCA
rnacentral:lncRNA from 1 species